UUGCCUUUUCUGGAAUCUCUCCCACCGCUUCGAAUUCCACCGUCUACCUGCUUUUUUGUUUGUCCACCGUUCAAACAAUCUCGAGGGAGAGGCGAAAGGGGAUCCAAAUCGCCGCUGGUGAGAGACGAUCACCGAUCUCGCCGCGUUUACCGUCGCCCCCACGCGCCCAAUUAUUGCAUCGAGCUCGCGGCCGGCGAUCGCCGAUUCGCCCACAUCGAAGCAUAAGCGGCAGCCGUGGGCUCGCCCCUGUUCCAAAUCGCCGGAGACGGGGAGGGAAGCCGCGGCGUCCUCUUUGACACCGUCGCUGCCCUCAGAUUCAUCCACGCUCAGGGGGAGAUGAGGCCGGGUGGAGGGGACGCCCGGCCAUGCGUCGAGCUCGCCACCCCAUCAUUUCGCCUGCACCGAGGGGGAGGCGGAAAUCAGAUCUAGACCAACUUCGCCUGCUUCGACGAGGAGGCGAUGGGGGGCCGGUGCUCAUCUUCCUCGCGCGCAUCGUUUCGUUUUCGACGACUAGCGGAAGGGAACCCGGCGUUCGUCUUCCUCAUCCCGGCAUCUUCUCGUAUUUGACAACAAGGCGGAAGGGGAUCCGAUGCUCGUGUUCCUCAUUGCUCUGGACGCGAACUACGAGAGGGCUCGAUCCUCCAGCACCUCAUCGUCAACAUUCGGGGGACUUUUUUAUUCUGAUGUUCCAAGAGGGGUAUACUGAUCAAGAUGGAUGGACCCGGGGGCACUAUCUGGACAAACUUGGAUUUACACAGCUGCUGUGGAAGACACUUCAAGAGUUGGGAUUUCAUAAUCCUCCUGAAUAUUACUGGAGGAAUGAAGCGUCCCCACAUAAGUAGAGACUAAAUGUGAUACAAAUAUCAGUCCCAGGAGGCUGAUAACACAUUUAUUCGAUAGAUAAUUCAGUUACCGUA